ACACCCAUUUGAGCUUUGGAUCUUCAAACCAUUAAGGUUUAAGUAUAAAAGGGGUUUAUUGCGUAUAUAAGCUAUCCCAUAAUUUUUGGAUAAUUAUUUGGAGUUGAAAAAGUAUUUUAUUUAAAUGGAUAUAUAGCCCUAAAGGCAUUUAUAGGGCAAAUGUAUUUUUAUAUAUUUUAUUUUGAGGAAAAACUACUUCCAAAAGUUGUAUCAUGGUAGAACAUGAUUUUACAAAUUUCUGGGAUUUAUUUGGACCAAUUUGGAGUUCAAAAUCAAAAGAUAUCAAAAGAAUAAGAAAAACAGAAAAAGAAAAGGGUAAAAGAAAAAAAAAGGAGCAAACGGACCGGCCCGGCCGAAUUGGGCCGAACUGGCCCAACUCCUCGCGCGCGCCCGCAGCCC
rnacentral:lncRNA from 1 species